rnacentral:rRNA from 1 species
GAUGAACGCUAGCGGGAGGCCUAACACAUGCAAGUCGAACGGGAUUGAGAGCUUGCUCUCAUGAGAGUGGCGCACGGGUGAGUAACGCGUAUGCAACCUGCCUUUAACAGAGGGAUAGCCCAUAGAAAUGUGGAUUAAUACCUCAUAGUUCUGAGAGAUCGCAUGAUUUUUCAGAUAAAGCUCCGGCGGUUAAAGAUGGGCAUGCGUGACAUUAGCUAGUUGGUGAGGUAACGGCUCACCAAGGCGACGAUGUCUAGGGGUUCUGAGAGGAUGAUCCCCCACACUGGUACUGAGACACGGACCAGACUCCUACGGGAGGCAGCAGUGAGGAAUAUUGGUCAAUGGGCGCAAGCCUGAACCAGCCAUCCCGCGUGCAGGAUGACGGCCCUAUGGGUUGUAAACUGCUUUUAUACACCAAGAAAAAUCCGAACGUGCUCGGACCCGACGGUAGUGUAUGAAUAAGCAUCGGCUAACUCCGUGCCAGCCGCCGCAGUAACAC